GCGGAUGUGGCGGAAUGGUAGACGCGCUAGUUUCAGGUACUAGUGGGAGCAAUCCUGUGGAGGUUCAAGUCCUCUCAUCCGCACCA
rnacentral:tRNA from 1 species